AUUCACUUCAUACUUAAAAUUCUCUCUACUCUAGAAUUUUUUCAGCAGAGCCAGCCAUUUAAUCUGCCUUCCUUCUAGUACUUACCAAUAAGUUAAACAUUUUUAGAAAUGUAUUUGAAGAGCAAAUACUGGAGUAUGUCCAACUGCAAUUGCAGGAUGGUUAUUGACUUCAGAAUUAAGACAAAACAUUCAGGUUGUGACAUUUGAUAGGCAACAUACUGCCUCAUUGAAGCAAGUGAAAUAGGACAUAAAUGUAACAUUUGCAGCUUGCUGGUUUUGCAUUAGCUAAGGUACACUUUUCUAUACCACUUUGAUAUAUAUAAAAUCAUAGGAAUGCUAUGCAAAGAUGUAUAUAAUUUUUUCCGAAUAAUUCAAUCUCCAACACAGUGCAAAGAAUACAUUCUGCAUUUGAGUCAAAUUAUGGUCAAUGGGGCUAAUUAAAGGUCAACAGAAGGUUCACUGAAGAGAUCCCAGAGUGCACCAUUCUGUGACAGCUCAGAUAUGUUGGAUUGAACUGAGACGUCUGGUAUUUGGGAUGAGAAAGAUGCAGGAAGGCAACAAACUUGAGAAUUCCUUGAGAAAUACUGCAAGUGCUACGGCAUGGAGAGUACAUGCAGCGAGAGCCCCAGAAUGCAGCAUGGGAAGCCACAGCACUUGCACAGUGUGUUCCUAGACACAGUCCUGCCAUGAAUGCAGAGGACUGGCCUAGAUGACUUCUCCAGGUCCCUUCCAGUCCUAUGAUUCUAUUCUACACUGCACCAGCCAGCUAUCCAUCUAGGUAUUUACAUUGCGGUCAUCAUGGUAGAAUCUGAGCACAUGAAAUAAAUUACCAUACAGUACAGCUCCCAAAGCACCCAGUCCCACUCAUUUGUACAACUGCAAAAACCUUAUGUGAUAUCAAUAAACAUUUUCAAAUCUCUGUAACUUAGAAAGGGUCCAGAUUGUUGUUUUCAGAUUUUGAACCUUUGACACAUUUACUGUAAUGUCCAUAGGGCCAGGAAGGGGUUAAUAGUGUGCUAAGAUAUUUUUGUAUACUUGACUAAGGCCAGAUCAUGGCCUCCACAUAAAGACCUGAGGAAGGGCCAAAGACUAGUGGAAAACCCUUUCCACUUGUGGAUUUUCUGACAAAUCAGGCCCAAGGUGAGACCACGGAGGGUAAAAAGCUGAAUAUUGCCACUGGGUGUGCAAGAAUUAUUCAAAGUUGAGCUGCAGAACUAGGCACUCGUAGUACAGCCCAGUAGAUCAGCUGUUAGUUGGAUUUUGAAACUAUUGACCUAUGUGGGGAAUAAAUAACUGCAGACAUUGUCCCAACAACCAGGGACAGGCACUGGGGAACUUAAAUGCCAGCCCAGUCCUAGUCAGCCACCCUCACUGUUACUGAGUGGUACCAUUGAUUUCAGUGCGACUGCUUGAGGAAUUGGGUACUACUCCCAGUGACUAGCAUAGCAAAAUCCAGCUCACAGUAUACAGCAUUAAUUUAUGCAGCGCAGAUUCACAUUACCUUCUAGAGAUGUUCUCCAGCUCACAUCUUCUCUACUCCCAAACUUCUCUGAGCCUCUCGGUGCAUGGAGUUCUCACAUGACCUCGGCUUCCACGAAGUCAGAAGGAGGGGGAAAUUAUACUACUUAGGCACAAAUCCCCUCUGUUCGAUAAGUGCUGUGGCCAUUUGGAAAGGUUUUCCCACUCAUUUUAGCCCCCCGAUGCCUAAAAGUGGAAGGAAUUAUUUGGCCUCAAACGUGUAGUGAUAGCCACCCAGGCAGGAAAAUGAAAAAAAUGAUUUUGC